rnacentral:rRNA from 1 species
UACGUAGGGGGCAAGCGUUGUCCGGAAUCAUUGGGCGUAAAGAGCGUGUAGGCGGCCCGAUAAGUCCGCUGUGAAAGUCCAGGGCUCAACCCUGGGAUGCCGGUGGAUACUGUCGGGCUCGAGUCCGGAAGAGGAGUGUGGAAUUCCUGGUGUAGCGGUGAAAUGCGCAGAUAUCAGGAGGAACACCGAUGGCGAAGGCAGGUCACUGGGCCGCAACUGACGCUGAGGAGCGAAAGCAUGGGGAGCGAACAGG